GCACGCUGAUUGGCGGCGAACGGCUCAGUAACACGUAGUCAACCUGCCCUCGAGACGAGAACAAUCUCGGGAAACUGAGGCUAAUGCUCGAUAGAUCAAGAUUCCUGGAAUGGGUUUUGGUCCAAAAGGAGUGACGGCAUCUUGUCACUUUGCCCGAGGAUGGGACUGCGGCCGAUCAGGCUGUUGGUGGGGUAAAGGCCCACCAAACCAGUAACCGGUACGGGCUUUGAGAGAAGGAGCCCGGAGAUGGACACUGAGACAAGGGUCCAGGUCCUACGGGGCGCAGCAGGCGCGAAACCUUCGCAAUGUGCGAAAGCACGACGAGGUUAUUCCGAGUGAUUUCCGCUGAGGAAAUCUUUUCUCAGAUCUAAAACGUCUGGGGAAUAAGGGGAGGGCAAGUCUGGUGUCAGCCGCCGCGGUAAUACCAGCUCCUCGAGUGGUCAGGGCGUUUAUUGGGCCUAAAGCAUCCGUAGCCGGCUCAGUAGGUCUCCUGUUAAAUCCAACGGCUCAACCGUUGGUCUGCAGGAGAUACCGCUGGGCUAGGAGGCGGGAGAGGCGGACGGUACUCCGAGGGUAGGGGUAAAAUCCUUUGAUCCCCGGAAGACCACCAGUGGCGAAGGCGGUCCGCCAGAACGCGCUCGACGGUGAGGGAUGAAAGCUGGGGGAGCGAACCGGAUUAGAUACCCGGGUAGUCCCAGCCGUAAAC
rnacentral:rRNA from 1 species